AACAUACCAACGAGUUGUGAGUGAGAAACUUAGCGCCCAGAUAAUAAUCUACAAAGAAGACGUCGCUUUGUAAAUGUGAAAAUGAUUUGGAUCUACAUGAUCAUCUCAUCUCUGGCAACGGCAGCUCUUUCAAAAGGUUCUGUAGAAUGCAACUUAACUAAUCUUAAUGCAACAACCAAACAGUGUUUUGGAACACUUGGAGAACCGCUGAUGUUUCAUCUACCGACUUCAACUAGAAAAUUUACUUUGAAAAAGAAUCGCGAUAUAAUUUUUAGUUUAAUGAAAAAUACAGACCUAACAGACACCAAUAGCAAAAAGGACAAAAGAAUGACAUUUUUCAACAAUGGAAAAUUGAAGCUCGACGAGGCAUCAAAGGAAGAUUCUGGAGAUUACCUGCUGGAAACAUUUGAUUCCACCACUGGCCUAUCUGUCCAUAUAAUCCACAUCCAUGUAGAAAUACAAGGUAAGAUAAAAAACUUGAAUUGUAUUUCAUUCAAAUCUAAUUUAAUGGAAAUUAGCUGGUUA